GCAUAUUUGAUUUUUAACAGAAGGUGAUAUGACGCACUGAACGCUCUAAUUAUGCAGGUGAUAUUGUAUUAAAUGUAGAAAAUAUUAAUCGGCUAUUUAUUUAUUAAUUUAUUGUCUUUUGGAAGCUGCAUUAAAAAUCUUAUUGUCUCAAAAAUCUGAGGUGGCACGUCACGCCCCCUCACGUUGAAUAGGGAUGACGCCUCUGUUCACUCCUCCCCUACAAAUUGCAUUUGCUGACUCGCUUCAUCAACACAGACAAGCCUGAGUCAGACAAAAGGAAUAUAUCUCAGCAGAUCACAAGGCAACGGAUAUUUCAAUCAGAAUCCAAUAAUCUGAAGAAUGUAUCCCAGCCAUUCUUUCAAUCAGCCUCCAGGGGCCUUGAAUUCAUCUGAGAAAUCAGCAAUGUUAUAUUCUUUUUCACCACCACCACCAUACCAGGCCAAUCCUGCUGGAUAUCCUCCCUCUUUUCCAAGCCAGCCGGUCCCCCAAGGCCCCUACGCCCAGGGGCCGCAUCCAGGACAACCCGUGGUUGCUGCUCAGCCUGCAGUAUUUGUGACAACCACUCCAAUGGCUAGUCUAGUGCCAGAUUACUUGGGUUACUCUAUUUUCACCAUGCUGUGCUGCUGUUUUCCUCUGGGCAUUGCUGCACUUGUUUUCUCCUUCUCUACUCGAAAUGCCAACUUCGCAGGACAGCGAGCAUUAGCAGAGAAGAAUUCUAAUACGGCGCUCAACCUGAAUCAUGCAGCCCUCGGUAUUGGCGUCGUUUUCAUUGUACUGUAUAUUAUUUUAAAAACUGUGUUGUGAGUUGAUAAAUGCUAAUAAAUACAGAUUUGAUUCUAUGCAUUGUAAAUCCUGUUUGCUCAAUGUCAGUAUAGCCUGUUUAUGACAUAUGCCAUAAGGCUGAUUAUUGUAUGUUUAGACUUUUUUUGCUUAUCUUGUAUGCAGCUGUGCUAAUUUGAGCUUUUUAUUACAUACAUUUUUAUUAUCUAAGUACAUGUAUUGACAUAAAAUACAUUCACUCCCUAUAUCUUUCAAAUGACUGUAUAUGAAUUAUUUUCUUACUCAAUCACAGCCACUAUCAAAACUCUUCAUGUACACUUUUUUUUUUUUAAGUAUUGUUAAACUUAUGUUUAAAACCCUGAAUAAACAAAUACAUAAAUAUCUGAUUAGCAAUUUGAUGCAUUUCCACAGUAAUACAAAAUAAAAUACUUUCAAAAGA